rnacentral:rRNA from 1 species
AGAGUUUGAUCCUGGCUCAGGACGAACGCUGGCGGCGUGCUUAACACAUGCAAGUCGAACGAGAGGAGAAGGAAGCUUGCUUCUUUCAAAUCUAGUGGCAAACGGGUGAGUAACACGUAAACAACCUGCCUUCAGGAUGGGGACAACAGACGGAAACGACUGCUAAUACCGAAUACGUUCCUUAGGUCGCAUGACUUUAGGAAGAAAGGGUGGCCUCUACUUGUAAGCUAUCGCCUGAAGAGGGGUUUGCGUCUGAUUAGGUAGUUGGUGAGGUAACGGCCCACCAAGCCGACGAUCAGUAGCCGGUCUGAGAGGAUGAACGGCCACACUGGAACUGAGACACGGUCCAGACUCCUACGGGAGGCAGCAGUGGGGAAUCUUCCGCAAUGGGCGAAAGCCUGACGGAGCAACGCCGCGUGAGUGAUGACGGCCUUCGGGUUGUAAAGCUCUGUGAUCGGGGACGAACGGUCAGCAGACGAAUACUCUGCUGAAGUGACGGUACCCGAAUAGCAAGCCACGGCUAACUACGUGCCAGCAGCCGCGGUAAAACGUAGGUCACAAGCGUUGUCCGGAAUUACUGGGUGUAAAGGGAGCGCAGGCGGGAAGACAAGUUGGAAGUGAAAUCUAUGGGCUCAACCCAUAAACUGCUUUCAAAACUGUUUUUCUUGAGUAGUGCAGAGGUAGGCGGAAUUCCCGGUGUAGCGGUGGAAUGCGUAGAUAUCGGGAGGAACACCAGUGGCGAAGGCGGCCUACUGGGCACCAACUGACGCUGAGGCUCGAAAGUGUGGGUAGCAAACAGGAUUAGAUACCCUGGUAGUCCACACCGUAAACGAUGAUUACUAGGUGUUGGAGGAUUGACCCCUUCAGUGCCGCAGUUAACACAAUAAGUAAUCCACCUGGGGAGUACGACCGCAAGGUUGAAACUCAAAGGAAUUGACGG